rnacentral:rRNA from 1 species
AGUGAACGCUGGCGGUAGGCCUAACACAUGCAAGUCGAACGGCAGCACAGUAAGAGCUUGCUCUUACGGGUGGCGAGUGGCGGACGGGUGAGGAAUACAUCGGAAUCUACUUUUUCGUGGGGGAUAACGUAGGGAAACUUACGCUAAUACCGCAUACGACCUACGGGUGAAAGCAGGGGAUCUUCGGACCUUGCGCGAUUGAAUGAGCCGAUGUCGGAUUAGCUAGUUGGCGGGGUAAAGGCCCACCAAGGCGACGAUCCGUAGCUGGUCUGAGAGGAUGAUCAGCCACACUGGAACUGAGACACGGUCCAGACUACUACGGGAGGCAGCAGUGGGGAAUAUUGGACAAUGGGCGCAAGCCUGAUCCAGCCAUACCGCGUGGGUGAAGAAGGCCUUCGGGUUGUAAAGCCCUUUUGUUGGAAAGAAAAGCAGCAGGUUAAUACCCCGCUGCUCUGACGGUACCCAAAGAAUAAGCACCGGCUAACUUCGUG